CCUAUUGAUGAGGAAGACUUGAUCUCCUAUGUCAUCGGGGGUCUUAAUUCCAUUUAUAAUCCUUUCAUCACAUCUCUUAAUUUUGCCACUCGAGACAAAUCAAUUUCAUUUGAUGAUUUUCAAACUGAAUUGCUCAAUU